GGUGUUGGGGGAUGUGAAUAAAUCAGAACCCUCAUAUGCUGCUGAUUGGAAUUAAAAAUAGUGUGACUGCUUUGGAAAACAGUCUAGCAAUUUUUCAAAAUGUUCAAAAUGGAGUUACCAUAUGAUACAGCAAUUCAACUGGUAGGCAUAUAGAAGAGAAACGAAGAUGUAUGUCUACACAAAAACUUGAACAUGAAUAUUCUUUGCAGGAUUACUCAUAAGAAUCAAAAGGUAGAGGAGUGCCUGGGUGGAUCAUUAUAUAAGCCUCCAACUGUUAAUGACACAAAUGCCCAUCAAAAAAUAGGACAGAUGUGCCUGGAUGGCUCAGUCAGUAGAGCAUGUGACUUUUGAUCUUGGAGUCAUGAGUUGAACCCCAUUUUGGGCAUAGAGAUUAGUUAAAAAAAAAAAAAAGGAGAGCAAAAUAAAAUAGGAUUUAUUCUUAUUAUGGGAGAUUACCUAA